rnacentral:rRNA from 1 species
UACGAACUGUGCAAACGUUAUUCGGAAUUACUGGGCGUAAAGCGUGCGCAGGCGGCUUCUCAAGUCAGGGGUGAAAGCCCAGAGCUCAACUCUGGAAUUGCCUUUGAGACUGAGUGGCUUGAGUACGAGAGAGGUGAGUGGAAUUCCCAGUGUAGAGGUGAAAUUCGUAGAUAUCGGGAGGAACACCAGUGGCGAAGGCGGCUACCUGGACCAGCACUGACACUGAGGCACGAAAGCGUGGGGAGCAAACAGG